AAGAAAGCUUGCUUUCUUUGCUGGCGACCGGCGCACGGGUGAGUAACACGUAUCCAACCUGCCCUUUACUCGGGGAUAGCCUUUCGAAAGAAAGAUUAAUACCCGAUGGCAUAAUGAUUCCGCAUGGUUUAUUAUUAAAGGAUUCCGGUAAAGGAUGGGGAUGCGUUCCAUUAGGUUGUUGGUGAGGUAACGGCUCACCAAGCCUUCGAUGGAUAGGGGUUCUGAGAGGAAGGUCCCCCACAUUGGAACUGAGACACGGUCCAAACUCCUACGGGAGGCAGCAGUGAGGAAUAUUGGUCAAUGGGCGCU
rnacentral:rRNA from 1 species